rnacentral:rRNA from 1 species
GCGCACCAGUCGCGAAUACUUUACAAUGUGCGAAAGCACGAUAAGGGAACUCUGAGUGCCUCCUAAGGAGGCUGUUCAGGUGUCUAAAAGCACCUGAAGGAAGGGCUGGGUAAGACCGGUGCCAGCCGCCGCGGUAACACCGGCAGCCCAAGUGGUAGCCACGUUUAUUGGGUCUAAAGCGUCCGUAGCCGGCUGGGUAAGUUCCUUGGGAAAUUUGGCUGCUUAACAGUCAAGCUUUCAGGGAAUACUGCUCGGCUUGGGGACCGGGAGAGGUCAGAGGUACUCCAGGGGUAGGGGUGAAAUCCAUUAAUCCUUGGGGGACCACCGGUAGCGAAGGCGUCUGACCAGACCGGGUCCGACGGUGAGGGACGAAGGCUAGGGGCGCGAACCGGAUUAGAUA